UUAGGAGGCAAAUCAGUAUAUACAUACUGUUUUUCUAUAUUUUUGUUUUGUAACCGGAAUCUGCCACGGCCCUAAUAAAAUUUGGGAUAUGGGCUGCUUAUUGCAUAAACACUAAACGGUUUUUUCAGUAUGCUUGUGCAAGCAAUAUUUGUGGUUAUUUGACCUCACAAAAUUUCUUUCUUUGACUCUUAUUAGGUGAAGCUGAGGAGCUCAACCUACUGAAACAAACAUGAUAGUGAGAGAUGGUGGAGUUCAGCAUGCCGCACAUGAGCAUGAUAGUUUCCCCUCUCUCUAUUCUCUUAGGAAUUUAUUGCAGACGCUCAUGCAGUCAUGCCGAAGCUAGCUUUGCUGUUGAGCUUCCUGUUGGUAUGGAACCACUCUCUCAAAUCUAAAUCUCAAUUGUUAACGACAAUUUGGAGUAUUACUUAUGUGUAAUACCUGCAGUGUCUACGUUGUUCCCCUUCAAAAAAUAUCUCUUUUGCAAUAUAAGUAUAGAAGUGAGGAAGGAGCACAUGUUUUCAUCAAGUGCAAGGAGGUUAACCUGGUGUGGGGCAAAAACAUGGACUGGAGCAUGUUCGACAUAAACGAUAGCCUUGACAUAUGCUGAUAUGGCACUACAUAUUGUAUGGGUAAUGUUGGAGCAAUUGAGGCUGGAGUAAAUAGUACCCAUGUAGGAGAUAUUCCUUUCUCGGAUGAAGAUGUUGCUUACAGGGCUUGAUGCCAUUAUAUAGAGUACAUGGAGCCCUUCAAUAGAAACUUGAUAUCGUACAAAUUUUUCCUAUAAUUUUUUGCUAAUUUUGGACUAAACUUUCGAAGCCAGGAGCGAAGCCCUGAAUUAUUCCGCCGGUGACAUGUUCUAGGCCUAUGAAGCUUUGUUUCUGCUACGCCCACGUAGAUCUUCACCACGUCAUACCGUCCGAUGUUUUUUUUGCUGAAUGGUUGGAAGCGGAUGAAACCUGUUUGUCUGAUUAGAUAGGCCGUAAAACUAGAAGACUAAAGAAGGAUCUGGAAAAUUACAUGUUCGUGAUAGAGAAAGGAGUUAAUUUUGCGGUUGAUCAGUUUAGAGCUUUGCUCUCAGCAUACCUCCAUCUCGACUAUGAGUUUCAGCUAAUUAAAGUUGACAUCAACAUAUUCGUUCUUCAUUAGAUACUCAUAUGCCAACUGAUUGUGCAUGUUCUCUAGACUUACCUCGGAAAAGUACAAAGAAGACUUAGAACUUGAAACCACCCAGAUGCAUAACAAUGUCGUCUUGUUAUUGCGUUCAGUA